CCUCAAAUCAGGUAGGACUACCCGCUGAACUUAAGCAUAUC
rnacentral:rRNA from 3 species